rnacentral:rRNA from 1 species
AUUGAACGCUGGCGGCAUGCCUUACACAUGCAGGUCGAACGGCAGCAUGGGUGCUUGCACCUGAUGGCGAGUGGCGAACGGGUGAGUAAUGCAUCGGAACGUACCCGGAAGUGGGGGAUAACGUAGCGAAAGUUACGCUAAUACCGCAUAUUCUGUGAGCAGGAAAGCGGGGGAUCGCAAGACCUCGCGCUUCCGGAGCGGCCGAUGUCGGAUUAGCUAGUUGGCGGGGUAAAGGCCCACCAAGGCAACGAUCCGUAGCGGGUCUGAGAGGAGGAUCCGCCACACGGGGACGGAGACACGGCCCAGACUCCUACGGGAGGCAGCAGUGGGGAAUUUUGGACAAUGGGGGCAACCCUGAUCCAGCCAUGCCGCGUGAGUGAAGAAGGCCUUCGGGUUGUAAAGCUCUUUCGGCCGGGAAGAAAUCGCACAGGUUAAUACCUUGUGUGGAUGACGGUACCGGAAUAAGAAGCACCGGCUAACUACGUGCCAGCCGCCGCCGUAAAAC